CUCAGCUACUGACGAGAGAGUUGCAGAUAACAGGCUACAGAUGCAGUCUUCGCAUUUCAGCAAAACACGUGUGACUGCUGCUUGAAACACUUCAGAGGAGCAGACAUCGACGGCCGUCAACAGAAAGUUACUACGGAAGCCUAUAUCCCAAACGACGACGGCCCCCCACGUCUUGCAGGCGGUGCUGGAGGCGUAGGGAGGGUGGCAGCAGCGCGGCGCCAUGCUGGUGGCGCUCCUUGCGCUGCUGCCGUUGGCGAGCGCGCUGCCGGAAGUCAUCCGCAUCGGGGGGCUGUUCCACCCGGCGGACGACCGGCAGGAGGUGGCGUUCCGGUACGCCGUAGACCGACUGAACGCCGACCGCAGCGUGCUGCCCCGAUCGCGGCUCUCUGCGCAGAUCGAGAAGAUAUCUCCACAGGACAGCUUCCAUGCCUCCAAAAGAGUGUGCCACCUGCUUCGGAGCGGCGUGGCGGCCAUCUUUGGACCCCAAUCUGGCCAGACGGCGAGCCACGUGCAGUCCAUCUGUGACACCAUGGAGAUCCCCCACUUGGAGACGCGCUGGGACUAUCGCCUCCGUAGAGAGAGCUGCCUUGUCAACCUCUACCCGCACCCCACAGCACUCUCCAAGGCGUACGUAGACUUGGUCAGGGCAUGGGGCUGGAAGUCGUUCACAAUUAUCUACGAGAACAAUGAAGGAUUGGUGCGCCUGCAGGAGCUGCUGAAGGCCCACGGACCUUCCGAGUUCCCAAUAGCCGUGCGUCAGCUAGGCGAAGGCACAGAUUAUCGGCCAUUGCUAAAACAAAUAAAAAAUUCGGCCGAAUCUCACAUUGUGCUUGACUGCUCGACAUCACGGAUAUACGACGUACUCAAGCAAGCACAACAAAUUGGAAUGAUGAGUGAUUAUCACAGCUACCUAAUAACUUCAUUGGAUCUUCAUAGUGUCGACCUGGAAGAAUUCAAAUACGGCGGUACUAAUAUCACCGCAUUUCGUCUUGUGGAUCCAGAGAAGCCAGAAAUAAAGAAAGUUAUCCGUGACUGGGGCUACGGCAGCUAUGGCCGGAAAGCAGACAUGGGUCCAAUUAGGACAGAAACAGCGCUGAUGUAUGAUGCAGUUCAUCUAUUUGCCAAGGCCCUUCAUGACCUUGACAGCAGUCAAAGGAUUGACAUUAAGCCUCUUAGCUGUGAUGCAGUUGAUACAUGGCAACAUGGAUACAGCUUAAUCAAUUAUAUGAAAAUUGUUGAAAUGCAAGGCCUGACAGGUGUCAUAAAAUUUGAUAAUCAGGGAUUCCGUAGUAACUUCUUGUUAGACAUUGUUGAACUCAAUAAAGAUGGUCUGAAGAAGAUUGGUACCUGGAAUUCUACUGAAGGUGUCAACUUCACUCGAACAUAUGGUGAAGUCUACACACAGAUUGUUGAGAGCCUACAAAAUAAGACAUUUGUUGUUACCACAAUUCUUAGUUCUCCGUAUUGCAUGAGAAAAGAGUCAAGUGAGAAACUUACAGGAAAUGCUCAGUUUGAAGGAUAUGGAAUAGACCUAAUACAUGAGAUAGCAAACAUACUGUGUUUCAAUUACACAUUCAAACUAGUACCUGAUGGUAGAUAUGGAUCAUACAAUCCUGAAACUAAGGAAUGGGAUGGAAUGAUGAAAGAACUCCUUGAUCAGAAAGCUGACUUAGCUAUUGCUGAUUUGACAAUUACAUAUGACCGAGAGCAAGCUGUGGACUUCACAAUGCCAUUCAUGAAUCUUGGUAUCAGUAUACUCUAUCGCAAACCAAUAAAACAGCCACCAAAUUUGUUUUCAUUUUUGUCUCCAUUAUCUCUGGAUGUGUGGAUAUACAUGGCAACUGCUUACCUAGGAGUUUCAGUCCUGUUAUUUAUACUUGCCAGGUUCACUCCAUAUGAAUGGCAGAAUCCCCAUCCUUGCAACCCUGAUCCAGAUCACCUGGAGAAUCAGUUCACUCUACUCAACUGCAUGUGGUUCGCCAUUGGCUCAUUAAUGCAACAGGGUUGUGACUUCUUGCCCAAGGCAGUUUCAACACGGAUGGUUGCUGGAAUGUGGUGGUUUUUUACCUUAAUUAUGAUAUCAUCCUACACAGCCAACUUAGCAGCUUUCCUUACUGUUGAGCGAAUGGAUUCUCCAAUUGAGAGUGCGGAAGACUUAGCAAAACAAACAAAAAUAAAAUAUGGUGCUCUCAGAGGUGGAUCAACAGCAGCAUUUUUUAGGGAUUCCAAUUUUUCAACGUACCAGAGGAUGUGGUCAUUCAUGGAGUCUGCUCGCCCAAGCGUUUUUACAAGCUCAAAUGUUGAAGGAGUGGACCGUGUUGUGAAAGGAAAGGGCAGCUAUGCUUUUCUAAUGGAAUCGACAUCAAUAGAGUAUGUUAUUGAACGGAACUGUGAGCUGACUCAAGUAGGAGGACUUUUGGAUUCAAAAGGCUACGGAAUUGCCAUGCCACCAAAUUCUCCGUAUCGCACUGCUAUAAGCGGAGCUAUUUUGAAGUUGCAAGAAGAAGGAAAGUUGCACAUACUGAAAACACGCUGGUGGAAAGAAAAACGUGGUGGUGGGACAUGUCGAGAUGACACCUCCAAGAGCAGCAGCACAGCAAACGAGCUUGGACUGGCCAAUGUUGGAGGUGUUUUUGUUGUGCUGAUGGGUGGCAUGGGUGUUGCUUGUGUGAUUGCUGUUUGCGAGUUUGUCUGGAAGUCACGAAAAGUAGCUGUUGAAGAAAGGGUGAGGAACAUUCUGCAAGAUACAUAAAAGAAAGAUCCAACAGAAGAAGCCUAGUCCAAAAUAUACCUCACGGAUUUAUACAACUCAGUAAUACUCUGUAGAAGAUCUUAAAUGAAGCCCACAGUCAUCUAUCUGCUCUGAGAUGGCUGCAGAACU
rnacentral:misc_RNA from 1 species